AUUGUUUCUCGUCUUGCUAUUGUAACUAAUAUAGCAACUGUUUUAUUUCCACAGGAUUUCCAAGCUUUUGACGACGCCAACGAAGAUGGCCGACUGCUGGAGUUUCUACAUUUAAAGUGAAAAAUUGUGAUUAAUAUAUAUAUUAGAGAAGAAUGCUGCGAGAUGUAUCAAGUGAAUGAAUGAGAGACUGAACUUAAUAUUUAAUCAAAAACCGCUUUAUUAGCCAAAAUGAUUUUUAAUCAUAACACAGCAUUUUAUUAAUACUUCCAUCAGGAUAUUAAUACAUUGUAUGGAUUGUAUUGUUAUGUCAAUGUUGUUUUAAAAAUUUUACAUAAAAAAAAACAACGU
rnacentral:misc_RNA from 1 species